rnacentral:rRNA from 1 species
CACGUAGGGCGCGAGCGUUGUCCGGAAUUAUUGGGCGUAAAGAGCUCGUAGGCGGCCUGUUGCGUCCGCUGUGAAAGCCCGGGGCUUAACCCCGGGUCUGCAGUGGAUACGGGCAGGCUAGAGGUAGGUAGGGGAGAAUGGAAUUCCCGGUGUAGCGGUGAAAUGCGCAGAUAUCGGGAGGAACACCAGUGGCGAAGGCGACUUCCUGGCCUGUUCUUGACGCUGAGGCGCGAAAGCUAGGGGAGCAAACGGG